UCGUCAGCUUCUGUACCUUCACCAGGAAGUUGCUACAAUUUCAUUCAUUCCAGUUCAGUUCACGGACUGUAGAGUUUAUGCAUUAAGUAUUACAACACUUUAUUUCAAAAUGCGUAGACGAACCGAAGCUCAAGCACCAAGCAAUGUACCCGUCAAUGCUGAUAGAAAGGAUCCGGAUCAAAGACUGCACAGCCCAGCUGCAGCAGAGGGCAGAGUGUCUUACAGCUCUAUGCUCAUGAACAUUGGAAAGUGUUUACUUUUAAUCAUCAUCAUCCCUCCGUUCCUCAACUAUGCAUCAUUGCAGAGAGAAGGACAAAUGCUCUUGCCUAAAGAUAGCCAGAUUGUUGAUGUUGGUUUGGGUCAAAAGAUGCAUCUUUUGUGUAAAGGACAAGGACAACCAGUUGUCAUACUGGAUGCACCAACUGGAAUGUCCUCAGACGUCUGGUUGCAUGUCCAAGAAAAUGUGGCCUCAUUAACAAAGGUUUGCACCUAUGACAGAAUGGGACUGGGCUUCAGCAAGCGGCUGUUGCAGAAUGAAACCACAGGAACUGAGAAAGUUUGGGGGAUGUCAACAACUGGACGCAUGGUGGAUGAUCUACACAGACUCCUGCAGGCUGCUGGAAUAGCCAAGCCCUUCAUCCUGGUGGGCUCUGAGCUCGGCACACUCAAUGGCAGGUUUUACAGCCACAUUCAUGAUGUGCAAGUGUCAGACCUGGUGCUGAUUGAUCCCAUCCCAGAGGACGUUUUUGAGGAGGACCAGUGGAAAGACUACUGGUAUGGUAAGCUGUUGCCCUCCCUCCAAACCAGGCAAUUUUCGGCAGCUACAGGGCUGAGCCGCAUUUUGAUUAUCCUUGGGGCCAUCGAACCAACUAUUAAAGGAGAAAAUGUCUCAGAGGAGGUCAUCCAGCGCCAGAAAUACCUACUAAGUAACCCUGCCCACCAGAGCAGUGCUGUGGAUGAGCAUUACUUUUUAAAUGAAAGUGCAGCUCAAGUUAGGGAUAUCACAAAGUUUAAGCCCCUCUCCGGCAGGACGUCAGUGAGUGUGAUCACCGGGGAUUCCUUUGACCAGCAAAUACCAGAACACCUAAACCAGAUGGUUGCUAAGCUUCAAAAGAAGUUUCUGGAGGAGUCCUACCCGUCAGCCAAUCACAUUCACAUAAAAGGAGCAGACCGGCGAAUGAUCUACAAGAAGCCAUCUGCCAUCAGCAAGCACCUGAGGAAGCUAGUCAAUCAACGACAAGCCAAACAGCAGAGCGAGUGACCCGUGGCCAACAUGAGGCACUCUUCUCAUGCAGAAGCUGCUGGUGGAUGUUGUUGCUGCGAUGAUGCAGACACCUCAGACAUGGCAGAGCAGCGUAGACGCCAGUCUGCCUAUACAUCUUUGCAGGUUUGUCCCAUUGAGCACUCUAUUAGCUAUCCUUCUCUGCGGGUAGUGCUGCCUGUGUCCUGGUUGUGGCCGGUCGACAUGUGUUUACUGUGGCCCCUGCUGUGGCGGCAGGCUGGUCGGGGGCCCGUCCUGACCAAGCCCUGCUAAUGGGACCAGAAGACCCCUCGUGACAGGGCGCCGCUGUGGUGAGCACCGCAGCAAAUUCUACCCCUCCCUCCCCUCCAGCUGCGGCCUCAUGGCCCAUGUCCCCCUACCCAUCAUGCCUCGGCGGGAGCAGGUGAACGGCGGAGGGCCAACGCCGGUGAGCUUGGUUUUUCCUGGGAGAGCAGUGCGCCAUUGCCACGCGCCUCAGUGGUUCCUCCAACAUGGCUCCGGCCCUACGCCACAUGGGCUGGCUGGCCAUUCUGUGUGUCUGUGUGUUUUUAAGUGUGUGGGUGUAUGUGUGUGUGUGUGUGUGUGUGUGUGUGUGUGUGUAUGUGGGGGUGUAUGGUGGAUGCCAGCCCUAAUGCAAAUGCUUGCCGUUUAAAAAAUGGGAGCCUCUCUCCUCCUCUGUCUCUCCUCUUUGGAAAGGUCUAUUUUGGCCUUCUGGUGCUGGCAGUUAUUUUUUUCCUUUCCAGAAGGACAGAGAGCCAGGAAGAUGCACCUGUCAUCCAUUUUGAAAUUCAACAUUAUUGAUCUGGUCAUGAGGAAUGGAAUUUAUGAUGCUAUGUGUCUUUCUAAAUGAAUACUUAUUGAUUUGUGCCUUAAAACAUACAUAUUUCUCUUUU